rnacentral:rRNA from 1 species
GACGAACGCUGGCGGCGUGCUUAACACAUGCAAGUCGAACGAAGUGGCGGACGGGUGAGUAACGCGUAAUCAACCUGCCCUUCAGAGGGGGACACCAGUUGGAAACGACUGCUAAUACCGCAUACUGAAGGAGGGGAUUGCGUCUGAUGUGCUAGUUGGUGGGGUAACGGCCCACCAAGGGGAAGGUCAGAAGCCGGGUUGAGAGGAUGAACGGGCAAAUUUGGACCGAGACACGGCCCAGGCUCCUACGGGAGGCAUCAGUGGGGAAUCUUCCGCAAUGGACGGAAGUCUGACGGAGCAACGCCGCGUGAGUGAUGACGGCCUUCCGGUUGUAAAGCUCUGUUAAUCGGGACGCGGUACCGGAAUAGAAAGCCACGGCUAACUACGUGCCAGCAGCCGCGGUAAUUC